rnacentral:rRNA from 1 species
GGGGAAGACGUGAUGCGGAGUGAAUUUUAGUAACGAAGUCCGUGAGCUGUGCGUCAAGAAAAGCCGCUAUUGUUCAUACCAUACCCGUACCGUAAACCGACACAGGUGGAUGAGGAGAGAAUCCUAAGGCCGGCGGAAGAAGCAUUGUCAAGGAACUCGGCAAAAUGACCCCGUAACUUCGGGAGAAGGGGUGCCACUGAGAAGUGGCCGCAGAGAAUAGGCUCAAGCAACUGUUUAGCAAAAACACAGGUCUAUGCGAAACCGUAAGGUGAGCUAUAUGGGCUGACGCCUGCCCGGUGCUGGAAGGUUAAGAGGAGAGGUUAGCGCAAGCGAAGCUUUGAAUUUAAGCCCCGGUAAACGGCGGCCGUAACGAUAACGGUCCUAAGGUAGCGAAAUUCCUUGUCGGGUAAGUUCCGACCCGCACGAAAGGCGUAAUGAUUUGAGCGCUGUCUCGACAAUGCAUCCGGUGAAAUUGAAGUACCAGUGAAGAUGCUGGUUACCUGCGCCAGGACGGAAAGACCCCAUGGAGCUUUACUCCAGUUUGGUACUGGGAUCCGGUACUGCAUGUACAGGAUAGGUGGGAGGCUAUGAAAUGGUAACGCCAGUUGCCAUGGAGCCGCUGUUGGGAUACCACCCUUGCAGUAUUGGGUUUCUAACCAGCCGCCGUGAUCCGGCGGUGGGACAAUGCCAGACGGGGAGUUUGACUGGGGCGGUCGCCUCCGAAAGGGUAUCGGAGGCGCCCAAAGGUUCCCUCAGGAUGGACGGAAACCAUCCAAAGAGUGCAAAGGCAGAAGGGAGCUUGACUGCGACACCGACGGGUGGAGCAGGUACGAAAGUAGGGCUUAGUGAUCCGGUGGUAUUAAGUGGGAAUGCCAUCGCUCAACGGAUAAAAGCUACCCUGGGAUAACAGGCUUAUCACUCCCAAGAGUUCACAUCGACGGAGUGGUUUGGCACCUCGAUGUCGGCUCAUCGCAUCCUGGGGCUGUAGUAGGUCCCAAGGGUUGGGCUGUUCGCCCAUUAAAGCGGUACGCGAGCUGGGUUCAGAACGUCGUGGGACAGUUCGGUCCCUAUCCGGCGUGGGCGUAGGAUAUCUGAGAGGAGCUGUCCUUAGUACGAGAGGACCGGGAUGGACGGGCCGCUGGUGCACCGGUUAGACUGCCAAGUCUAUAGCCGGGUAGCCAAGCCCGGAAGGGAUAAACGCUGAAGGCAUCUAAGCGUGAAGCCCCCCUCAAGAUGAGAUAUCCCAUCCGAAAGGAGUAAACCCCCUUGAAGACGACGAGGUUGAUAGGGCAGGGGUGGAAGUGUGGUAACACAUGGAGCUGACUGCUACUAAU